CAGCUUCUGGGAAACUAUCAUUUUUUUCACCUGCUGUACUGUGAUGUUUAACAAGAUUUGCCCAGAUUUGCCCUGGAACCUUGUUUUGUGUCUCUGCAGCUGAGUUGGCACUAUAUAAUGAAGUUUCUGGUAUUGCAUUUAGACCAGCGAUUCUCAGACUUUGGUCCUGUAUCUGUUUGGGUUUCAAUUUCUAGAUUUCCUGAUAAUUGACAAUACAGCCUGGACCUUUUGUGCCUUUGUUGUUUGAAAUCCCAUCGACUUUGCCUUGUUGUUUUGCUCAGUGGUCAAGCUGAUCUUGAAAUUGCCUGGCCAGGCUAAGGCAUGAGUGAUUCCUCCAUCUGGUCAGUGAAUAUCUGGUUCCAGAAAUGAUUGACCUUGGCAGCACUUCAUCUAACUCUGCUAUUUUGCUACUUGGAUGAUUUCCUUUUAUGCUUUCCUUCUAGGUAAGCUACUUCCAUAUUUGGCUGCUAGCCAUUCUAACCCAGUUACAGCUUUUCCAUCUGGUUUACUCUUGGAAACAUCAACUGAUGCUGCUACUUCAUUAUAAUUCUUUCACUCUCAGUUCAGUUACCAAAUAGCAUCCAUUCGCUGAGCACUGACAUAAUCCUUAAAUAAUAGAGAGGCUGCAUUUUGUGAUAGAUCCUCUUGUGUUUCAUCAUAGUAGCUUUCAGUAAUAUUUUCCUUUUUUAAAAAAGAUCACUGUCAAUCAUAUUUUGCCCAUGUUUUUAUUCCUUUAUAUUCCAUCACAAUGUUAUUUACAUACACAACAGAAACUCCUAAUCUAUACUGUAAUUCACAGACACAGAAUUUCUACAUCUGAUUUGUGCCCUCCUGGUGUUUUAGACUACAGCUGCCACCAUGUGCGAAAAUUGGCCUGGUGUUGUGGGAUAAGGAAAGUCAAAGUCCAAAACAUAACACACCAAACCCAUGGGGUGAGGUGGACAGCACUAAACACAUUUUCAAGAUAGUUAUAAAAUGUCUAGCAGCAUAUAUUUGAGUUGUUGUGAUGGUUUAUCAUGUCUGUAAAUGCUUUGUGGUUUAGUGUCACCAAUAUGCUAAUUAUAUAACACUCUGUCUCAGUAAUCAAGUAGAGUUGUCUCAGUACUGGACCAAUAUCUGUUGUCAGUAAUAGACUGGGUAUGAGCAAACAAACUGAAACCUAA